rnacentral:rRNA from 1 species
GCUACUAUGCCAGCUGGUGGAUGGCUCGGCUCGGAAGCCGAUGAAGGACGUGCCAAGCUGCGAUAAGCCUACGGGAGCCGCAUGGAGGCGAAGAACGUAGGAUAUCCUAAUGGGAAUCCCCACCGCAAUUGCUUCGCGCAAUGGGGAACGCCGGGAAUUGAAACAUCUCAGUACCGGCAGGAAAAGAAAGCGUAAUGCGAUGUCGUUAGUAACCGCGAGUGAAAGCGACGCAGCCCAAACUGAAGCCCUCACGGGCAAUGUGGUGUUCGGGCUACCUCUCAUCGGACGACCGUUUUCGUGAAGUCUCCUGGAAAGGAGCGCGAUACAGGGUGAAAGCCCCGUAACGAAGGCCAGUAGUCCGUGCGGUAGUUCCAGAGUAUCGGGGGUUGGAAAUCCCUCGUGAAUACGGCAGGCAUCGACUGCCAAGGCUAAACACUCUCCGAGACCGAUAGCGAAAAAGUAGCGUGAGCGAACGCUGAAAAGUAUCCUCAGAAGGGAGGUGAAACAGGGCCUGAAAUCAGUUGGCGAUGGAGCGACGGGGCAUACAAGGUCCCGUACAAAACGAACGAGACGCGAGUCUCCAGUAGGAAGUACGGGAAGCCGAUGUUCCGUCGUACGUUUUGAAAAACGAGCCAGGGAGUGUGCCUGUUUGGCGAGUCUAACCCGAUCAUCGGGGGAGGCAUAGGGAAACCGACAUGGCCGCAGCGCUUUGCGCAAGGGCCGCCGUCUUCAAGGGCGGGGAGCCAAACGAGCACGACCCGAAACCGAGUGAUCUACACGUGGACAAGGCGAAGCGUGCCGAAAGGCACGUGGAGGCCUGCUAGAGUUGGUGUCCUACAAUACCCUCUCGUGAUCUUCGUGUAGGGGUGAAAGGCCCAUCGAACUCGGAAACAGCUGGUUCCAACCGAAACAUGUCGAAGCAUGACGUCCGCCGAGGUAGUUCGUGAGGUAGAGCGACCGAUUGGGAUGCUUCACUCCGAGAGG